rnacentral:rRNA from 1 species
GACGUAGGGGGCGAGCGUUGUCCGGAAUUACUGGGCGUAAAGCGUGCGUAGACGGCUAUCUAAGUCGGGUGUGAAAGCCCCGGGCUCAACCUGGGAAUUGCAUUCGAGACUGAAUAGCUAGGGUACGGUAGAGGGAAGCGGAAUUUCCGGUGUAGCGGUGAAAUGCGUAGAGAUCAGGAAGAACAUCGGUGGCGAAGGCGCUCUGCUGGACCAUAACUGACACUCAGGGACGAAAGCUAGGGGAGCGAAUGGG